CUCUGGCUUGUGCCAGGGAGGUAUUUCCCUCAGUCUUGGGGCCCUCGCCAAAAGGCCCUGGAAAUGGCAAGGUGACAACCUCCACAAUUCCUUGUUCUUAUGGAGAAGAGCUGUGGGCUGCAAGCCAAGUGGGGAGAAACUGCUUCAGCCUGCGUUCCCACCAGCUCAGCCUGCUGUCUCUCUUUAGGUUCCUGCCACCGAUUCAGGAAGUGCAUGCUGAAGAGGUGGAACAACCAAAACCUCCAGAUGAGCCAGAGCCCUCUGCCAGUGCCAAGCAGUCCUCCAGAGUGGUAUGUCAGAGGCAUUGAUCCACCACCCUUGAAUCCUCCUGUGCUCCAGAGGAGGGCAGACAUGGCAGCAGCAGCUGCUGCCCUCCCAGGGGUCCAUGCCCAAGCCCCAGGAGACUGACGCUGCCAAUGGUUGUGUUUCCCUGGCCUGCAGGCAGCGCGCUUGAUGCGCGCUCUGACUGAGGAGAAACGGCUCCAGGUGCUGAUGGCCUCCAAGCGCAAGGAGGUCGAAGCUGAAAUCCAGACAGAGUGCCAGGAGUACACACAGAGGCUGAGCGCAGAGAGAAGCCAGAACCCCUUCCACCGCCAACUGGAGGGUGACCCUCGUCCUUCCUUCAGUGUGAGAAGGGAGUACGAUCAGCAGCUGAAAGAGAGGCUGAAAGGGAAGGACAGGUGCCAAAGCCUCGCAGGGCAGACAGCACCAGGGGACUGGCAGAAGAAGCUGCAGCUCACAGGGACAUCACGGGAACAGAAUAGAGAGAAGACGAGGCUUUUGGACCGCCGUGGGAAGGCCCAGAGCUGCCAGGCGGCUUCUGGCUGCAGCGGCCGUAGCCAUCACGGCCUGCACCAAAACUCCCCUUCAGGCACCAGCAACUGCACCCAGGCGCACUCAGGCAGAGCCUCCCACCGCCGCACGCUGCCAUCUUUGUAGGGGGAGAGCUAUCAGCAGUGGGGCCAAGGGGCACCUUUCCAAAAGUAACAUCUUCAAUCAAGCUUUCCAAAAGUAACAUCUUCAAUCAAGCUUUCCAAAAGUAACAUCUUCAAUCAAGCUUUCCGAAAGUAACAUCUUCCAUCAAAAUUUCCAAAAGGAACUUAAUAUCUUCCAUCAAUCUUUCCCAAAUUAUCAUCUUCCAUCAAAUAAAGAAAAAUUCACCCCAUACA
rnacentral:lncRNA from 1 species